CUCCCAUCAUCUCCUUUCAAGAAAAACACUCGAAAUCAUCACCAAAUCUUGGAAACCUCCUUAUGUACAUUCGACUGAUACAUAGUAAUUUAUCAUGGCAGUGCAUGAUUCUGGUCAAGGACAAGAAGCAAAAAAAGAAAAACAUUCGAUACGAUCGACCAAUCAAAUUAUCGUGUUCCUAAAAACGCCAAAAACUAAUUGAAAUAUUUGAAAUUGUGUUAAUAAAUUUUUAAAGAUAUUCGCGCACAAACGAACGUCACAUACGUGUGAAACGUUCAUUUUCGGUUAGGGAGAGAAAAAAAGCACCUUUUAUUAUCCUUCAUUAUACAAAUAAUUAUAAUUGAUUAUCCUUGUCUAUUCCUUGAAAAGGAUCGUCCAUGAUCCUACGUUUAUAAAAGUAAAAAUCUUCUUCAACAAGAUCUAUGAUAUUAUCACAAAAAGAAAGUAAAAAAGUAAGAAUAGGUUGUAUUUUCAAAUCGACUAAACGCAUUGGUAAUUAUUUCAUCGACGCAAAAUGGCAUAGAUUUCAAAUAUAUCUCGACUCUGUUUAUACAAAAAUAUAAUUUCAAUUAACAGUCUGUUCAUUAUAUUAAUCAUCGAGAGAGAGAGAGAGAGAGAGAGAGAGAGAGAGAGAGAGAGCAAGGCUUGUGCUUAUGUAGUUAAAUUCGUAAUGGUAUAAAUCAUUGCUAUGAUAAAUAAUGGAACUCCUCAUUAUCUGGAUUCUGGCUUUGAGAAUGGCUGAAGGGAACCAGGUUGAACCCACGAAAGUCCUAACGCUCGAUUCUCUUCUACUCCCUGUAUUGAACCAAUCAGACGAAUAAUUUGUAGAAUAAUUUUAGAUUUUAUAAAGAGUGCCUAAAGAAAUUUACCUUUGUUUCGUAUAUUUGUUGCUUAACGGGAUCAUGCAAUUCUGGUAUGUACGGAGUGAACGUGAUAUAAUGCGGAUCCUCGAAUGCCGGUGAAUUAUAUACUUGAUUCAAACUUUCCCUCACGCAUUCUUUGGCUCGUUCUCGAAACUGAUCAAAAUUGUUUUGCAAUCUGCAAAUAUACAAAAUUGUCAUUUUAA